CGGCCCUUCAAAAUUCUCUUGGUUUAGCUACAGUAGCUUACCACAGAUACUGUUUAUGGUUAUCUUACAUGGUUAGUCUACCAUGGUUACCAUGGUCACCGCCGCAGCCUGUUCUUCUCUUUUUUUUCCCAUCGUCUCACUUCCCGAUCCUUCCACCGUCUCAUCUUCGAACUUCCCCACCGACUCUGUCACCUAAUAUCUGUUUCCACUGCUUCUCUUCUACCUCUUCACUACCGCCUCAUUCUCACCGACGUAUAUCAUCGCCUACGGCUUGCCUUCUUCGUUGUUACAAAAAAAUGUCGUCGCCUGUACACUAUCUCAAUCAGUUAUCGCCUUGUAGCCUAGAACUACCAAUGUUCCAUCGGACGACAAGUACAUCGGGAUGUUACAGGAACGAUGACGAACAUCUUCCUGCUCCACUCUGCUUCAUUUUUCAUCUUCCUCUGAGUCGUCGUUGGGUUUUGGGGAAACGAUGGUCGAUUGGUGGAUAGUAGGUUUUUUAGGGUUGCUGUUUGGCUUGCAAUUUUGGGUUGGUUGGCUUACUGAUUCAAUAACCAAUACGGGAAUGUACACAUUGUCGGCGGUUGUUGAUUGGAAGGGUUGUUUUGGAAAGUGAGUGGCAAAAAGUCGACCGAGGAGUUAUGGAAUCGAUAAUCGCUAGGCCUCUGGAGUCCGCUCUCAAAUGCUGGCUAAUGUGAGAUUCGUUCAACUUACAAGGACGCACAGUGCAAUUCUUGAGUGAAAUUGGAUUUGAUUUAUGCUCACAAGGUGUUUGAUGUUUUGCUAUCUUCCGCUCCUUUGCUCUUCGUCGCUAUCUUCUUCAGAUGGUAAAACACGCUCUCAUGCACAUAUUUAUUUAUAUGGUGAAGUUGAUGAUCUUAGUUGGGAUUCUGAUCCUUUGCCUUUGUUGCCCUUCCAGGUAAUUUCGUAAUUAGUGGAAGAAUUUUUGCCUAUAGAAUGAAGUGUCUUAACUUUUUCAAAUUUACCCUUAUUUAUUUUGUGAAUUGUGGUGUUGACAUGAUGAGUUUAUGUAGACAUUAUUUGGAAAACUGCAGCAGUCGAGGCUAACUAAAUUUGUUUUCAUGUGGUUCAUGUCUAAUGAAGAGGUCUUUUGGUGUGUUUUAAAGAAUGAUUUUGUAGCUUAGUUUAUCAACCAAUGCUUACUGAAAUAUGCAACAACUUCUUUACUAUUCACGGAAAUGGGUUUUGAUCCUUUAGUUGUAUCAUGGAACUGGUAAGUUUUCCUCCCUGUGGAGUCAUCUACUAUUCAAAUUGAUCUUGAAAAGAGACCAAAUUAGGAUAAUUUACUUUAUCCAUAUUAUUAGUUUUCUUACUCCUAUUAUAUGGAUUUUCUUAGUAAUUAUAUGAAGAUUUCUUUUAUAUAGGUUUCUUUCAACAGAGGCUAACCACAAUAGAAAAUUUUAACAAAUGUAAAGAUUGAAAAGGGCAAAAUGGAGCAUGGUGGGUAUCAUGUUUACAAUUGUCUACCUGUCCUACAAAUGAGUAUCAUCACGUUCAAAAAUGAAUUAGUGGAGGUCAUUUGAAUAACCUUCCUGCUGCAUUGCUCCACGUUUGAACCAGAGGCCCUGUUAAGGUACCUCCUUCUUUCUAUGGUUGGAAUUUUACAACGGGGUUAAAUAGGACCAACAUUUUACAAGUAAAUAAGGAAACAAUCAGAAGGCUAUGGUGUUCUUUGUGGAGGUGUUAAGGGGAAUAAAUAGGACCAACAUUUUACAAGUAAAUAAGGAAACAAUCAGAAGGCCAUGAUGUUCUUUGUGGAGAACACAAUUUCAUACGAAGGUCACUCCCUUAUUUCAUUAAGAUGGAAACCAGAAGGAAUACAAAUUUUAGAGUAAUCACCAUACAUUAGAUUGAUUUAUGGUGAUUUGUUGUUGUACUGUUAUGCAAUUUUUUGAAAUUAAUGCCAUUUAUGUAUUUUUUUAGGGACUAAUCA